GAUGAACGCUGGCGGCGUGCCUAACACAUGCAAGUCGAGCGAGAUCUUCUGGAACGAAACUUCGGUCUAGUGAAGGAAGUGGAAGCGGCGGACGGGUGAGUAACGCGUAGGCAACCUGCCCCAUACAGAGGGAUAGCCUUGGGAAACCGGGAUUAAAACCUCAUAACGCGAUCUGGUCACAUGGCCGGAUCGCCAAAGAUUUAUCGGUAUGGGAUGGGCCUGCGUCUGAUUAGCUAGUUGGUGAGGUAACGGCUCACCAAGGCGACGAUCAGUAGCCGACCUGAGAGGGUAAUCGGCCACAUUGGAACUGAGACACGGUCCAAACUCCUACAGGAGGCAGCAGUGGGGAAUAUUGCACAAUGGGCGAAAGCCUGAUGCAGCAACGCCGCGUGAGUGAUGAAGGCCUUUGGGUCGUAAAGCUCUGUCCUAAGGGAAGAAACAAAUGACGGUACCUUAGGAGGAAGCCCCGGCUAACUACGUGCCAGCCGCCGCAGUAACAC
rnacentral:rRNA from 1 species